GCAUGGUGGUGCAGUGGAUAGCACUGUUGCCUCACAGCAAGAAGGUCCUGGGUUCAAAUCUCUAUCAGAUGUA
rnacentral:tRNA from 1 species